rnacentral:rRNA from 1 species
UACAGAGGUGGCAAGCGUUGUUCGGAAUUACUGGGCGUAAAGGGCGCGUAGGCGGCCUUCUAAGUCAGACGUGAAAUCCCCAGGCUCAACCUGGGAACUGCGUCUGAUACUGGAUGGCUUGAAUCCGGGAGAGGGAUGCAGAAUUCCAGGUGUAGCGGUGAAAUGCGUAGAUAUCUGGAGGAACACCGGUGGCGAAGGCGACAUCCUGGACCGGCAUUGACGCUGAGGCGCGAAAGCCAGGGGAGCAAACGGG